UACGUAGGGGGCAAGCGUUGUCCGGAAUCAUUGGGCGUAAAGCGCGUGUAGGCGGCUUGGUAAGUCCGCUCUGAAAGCCCGGGGCUCAACCCCGGGAGGCGGGUGGAUACUGUCAAGCUCGAGUCCGGAAGAGGCGAGUGGAAUUCCUGGUGUAGCGGUGAAAUGCGCAGAUAUCAGGAGGAACACCGAUUGCGAAGGCAGCUCGCUGGAACGUAACUGACGCUGAGACGCGAAAGCGUGGGGAGCAAACAGG
rnacentral:rRNA from 1 species